rnacentral:rRNA from 1 species
UACAGAGACUGCAAGCGUUAUUCGGAUUCACUGGGCGUAAAGGGUGCGCAGGCGGCCGUGUGUGUUGGGCGUGAAAGCCCGGGGCUUAACCCCGGAAUUGCGAUUGAUACUGUUUGACUUGAAUCAGGUUGAGGUAGGCGGAAUGUGGCAUGUAGCGGUGAAAUGUGUAGAGAUCGGGAGGAACACCGGUGGCGAAGGCGGGACUCUGGGCCUACCCUGACGCUGAGGCGCGAAGGCGUGGGGAGCAAACGGG